rnacentral:misc_RNA from 1 species
CGGUGCAAGGUGUGGCCUUCACGCUUAUUGCCCAUCGCUUUCACAUUGACGUGUGCCUCUGCUGCUGCUGUAGUGUCCGCAUCUCUCAUCUUUUUUUUUGCGUUGCUUGUAAGGCACUUAUAUCCGCCUUUGAAGUGCGCCUACGUUUUGCAUGUGUGUGUGUAUGCAUUGUGUGUUUUGGUGCUCUUCGCUAAUAAUAAGUCUCAUCCCCUUCAUGCGCGACGUGCGUCUGAACACGCGUUCACGCACGUGCGUUUUGGCGUGCUCAGACUUCUGUCUCCGUUUUUCGCUGUUCGCUUUACAGUAUAUUGCACAUAUAUAUAUGUGCUAUUUAUAAUAAUAAUAUAUAUACACCUAUAUGUAUUUAUUUAUAUAUAUAUAUUUUUUUUGGUUUUGCUGAUCGUUUUAUCGUCGGAGCGAAACGCUGUGCAUCAACGAGCAGCGUCUGACAUCUACCGCGAUAGGACACAGGUGAGAGAAGCGAGAAAGAAUAUUCCCACAAGAGCCUCACCGGGUUCUACGAAGUUGUGCUUUCAAGUAGGAUGAACACGGCGACUGUGAUGAUGGCGCGCGGCCCGGUCACCCCACACCGCCGCCUUAGUAGAUGCACCAGCGCGCUCUGUUGUGCCAUCGCGAUCGCACUGUUUUGUGCUCUUUGUUGCGAAGUCAGCGCGCUGGAGGUGGGCAAGUUUUUUCCCGCCAAGACGCGCAUGAGCGCGAAGGAUCGUUACGAAUCUGUUCUGGCGCUGCAGUCUCUGCAGCGCGCGAUCGACGACCCUGAGCUGCAAAAGGAGGUAGAGUCCGCGCUCAAGGACACAACGAGGGGCUUCGACAUGUGCCGAUCGGCGCUGUACCGCUGCAACCGCGUGACCGGCGCUCUCGAGGAGGCGGUCAUCGAGGGCAUGCGAGACGGAACUGUGAAGUGGGACGAGUAUCCCAAGUCGGUGAAGCGGAUCCGCAUCACGGACUCGAGGCUGAGGCAGCCACUCGUGCUCUCCAGCUUACCUGCGAACCUUGAGGAAUUCGUGGCAACGAACGUGGAGUGGGAGUCCGACUCGAUUCUUCAGGCCCCAGGGAGUGGCGAGGGGGGAGUUGUGAAGGGGCCCUUGGCUCAUCUUCGCGUUUUGCAAUGUGACAACUGCGCUCUCGUGAAGGCAGAGGUGACGACGACGACACCCCAGCUGGAGUGGCUGCAGGUGUUGAGCCUUUCCGGCAAUCCAGACUUGUUCAUCGAUCUCCGCGAGCUGCCGCGCAACCUCCAAUCUCUGCAGCUCUCGUACACACAGCUGGCUCACUCCACGGUCAGGGAGGUAUUGGAGACUGCGCCGGCGUUUCUCUCGCUGCUGAAUAUCAGCUUCACCGGUGUUGCUCUGACCCUCGACAUGCUGCCGUCUGCACGGAAUCAGCUGAAGGCGUUGGAUGUGUCCGGCCUGGAAAGCAACAACCCGGGGUCACCUCUGUCUCUCUCUCAGCUGCAAAGCGCGUGUGGCGAAAGUGGCUUCAGCCUCGCAGAACUGUACCUCACCAGGUGCAGCCUGACGGGCACCCUCCCUCACCUUCGUAACUGCACGAAGCUGAAGGUGAUGGAUGUGUCGCACAACCUCCUCGAUGGCGCCGUGUUCGCUCAACUCCCCGAGAACAUAGAGUUGCUGCGUCUCAACAACAAUGCGAUACAGGGUGGCCUGCGCACCAGCGAACUCCCGCGCACUCUGCGCUCCCUUGAUCUUUCUGAAAACCAUUUCACGGGUGAGGUCGACCUCUCGGCACUGCCGCCGCAGCUGCAGUACCUCAACAUUGGCCACAAUCACUUCAGCGGCCAGGUGAACCUCACGCAGCUACCCGAGUCUGUCAAGUUUGUGUACAUGGAGUAUAACAACUUCACCGGCGCGGCUGACCUCGUCGACCUCCCACUCGGCAUCCGUUUUAUCAUGGUCCACCACAACAACUGGGACUACCUCAUGCCCGCCCCGUGAGAUGGGCCAGCACCAUUUAAGGCGAAAAAGCCGGCGGAAGGGUGCGGCGUUCUUAUUGUGGUGCUCGUGGUGGCAGCCUCAGCUCUCCGUCUUGCUCACCCUCUGCAUCUGAGCCGUUCACCUCCGUCUUCGUCUCUCUCUUUCUCCCCAUGCCAGUGCGCACGUACGUAUCUGCUUUUGGUGGUGAUUAAGCGCGGGGGUGGCGUAGCCAGGCGGUGGCGGCAGGGUUGGGGGGCAUCAAGUCAACAUUGUGCCUGGUUUAUGAGCAGCGAGCACCUUUGGGCUGUAGCACGUGUUGAGGAGAGUAAUAUCCAGCGCAUUCUUGUGUGACUAUCAUUUCGUGCGCCAUGUUACCUUCUCCUGCUCGCCCUUUUUUUUCCUAACACCAUUCGGUUACUUUUUUUCUGCUGCUUUUAGGCGUCGCCGCGCGGGAGAGGCAAGACUUGAAUGCAUGCUGCAUGUUAAAUAUUAUGGCAAACAACGGGGCCGACUCCGCACAGGCUCACACAAUGGAGCGCAGCACUAUCACCGCUGGCGUGCAUCUGCCUACAUGUUUGUCUAUGGUCGGAUGCGGCUGUGCAUUUCACUUUCUAUUCUGACUAGAAAAAUAAUGCCCUUGAUGCUGCCGGCCACCCCACCGCGGGUGCCUGGGUGCGGCACCCAACGCUGUGCGGAAGCCAAGCGCCCACACCCAGCGCUUCGUGUGGUGGGCCUCGGACUCUUGGUGUCGGCGGACAGGUCUGGGCUGGCGGUGUGCCGAAGAGACGUGCGGCCUUGAUGGUCGCGUUGGGGCCCGCUCGCUACGAAUCGUGCCGACGGCUCAACACGUGUGCGCAACGGCGUGCAGCGGGCGCGAGUCUCUGUGCGGCGCCGGUGGCGCCGCACGUAUCCGAGGAAGGACGAGAAUGCAGGGCGCAUGACCCGACUCGACGGCAGACGGCUCGUGCUGGACGACGAGGAUUUAGCGGUGGCGCAGCAGAGGCAGGUGGGCUGCGGCUGCGUGCGCGUAUUCGCUGAGCUGCUCGCGGUACUAUGGCAUGUAAUCAAGAAAAGGGGUCUGCCGUUUUGUGUACUGACGUAAUGCUUGGAUUUUGGUGGAUUAUGGCUGCAGCGGUGAGCGCUGGUGGUCGUGCUGGACGUACUGCAUAUACGCAGAGGUUCUGGAUUGCUGUAGUACAUCGACCGGCUCUGUGUUGUACAUGUAGGGAAUGAGCUAGACGAUGCCUGCCGCGGUGAAAGUGUGCACCGCUUCUGGGGGUUCUGUGCACUGCCAGAGCAUCUAUUCGUGUACGCAUGUCUGCACCCUCGUCCCUCUUUGGUGGUUUUUGUUCAUGUACGCCGUUACCCACUUUUUUUGUUCGGUUUCCGGAGGCUGCAGGGAGACCUUGAUUCUGUGUUUGUCGGGCGGUGAGCGACGAGUGCUGCCGCGACCCAAGAG